UUCAAGCCAGAGUGGGUAAUGUAUUUUAGAGACCUUUUUUGUUAUAUUUGUUGAAAUUUUCUUGACAUCCAGACAGCAAUCAAUAAAUCAAAUACUCUGACCAAAAAGAAAAGGGAAAGAAAAUCUGCGGCUGUAUGCAGGACUG